AGUUACAAAACCAGCCAGGGAGGGCCCAAACAAACAAAGUUAUCUUAAGUUCUUAACAAAUAAAAUGCAGUGCCCUGUGCCCAAAUAUUUAUAAUUUUAUACCUGAUUCCUGAACCUCAGAACCUGAUACGGUGGGGUGAGGUGAGCAGUUGAGACUUGAGAGAGGCGGAGAGCAGAGAAUCAGAGAGAGGCUGAGGCGGUUCAGCUGGAGACUGGAGACUAGAGAGAGGCGGAGAGCAGAGACUAGAGAGAAAGGUUUCAAAGUUAUGAACUGGAUACAGCGCAAGAUCUAUCUUUACAAUGUCACUUUUGGGCUCUACAUGUUGGAUUGGUGGGAGCGUUAUCUUUUCAAUACGUUGGUGAUUGUCUUGAUGUGGUUCGUUCUUUACAAUGGAUCACGAUAUGUGACUGAGUUCUGCAAGAGGUGGGGUUGGCAUAUUGAACCUGAUUGGCAGAAUUCAGUGGCAGGAAUACGUGGGAGUUGAGAGCUGCUGGAAGUACAAUGCAUUGCAUAUGCCUUUCUUUCUUCCAUUUCUUUUCCCCCCCAAAUUCCUACAUUUAGGAUUUCUUGUGUUAUGUAUACUCCUGAGGCAAAAAAAAUAUUUGCUAUGCUUUGUACUAAUUCUUCAUAUUCCUUAGUCUUUGUUAUAUCUGCUGUCCAUGUCAAACAUAUUUUGAUGAGAAAAUGUUGUUACAUGUGGCUGCCUAGAGAUUCUACAA